rnacentral:rRNA from 1 species
UUAAUUAACUCUGGGGCAAUACUGAAACUACUUCACAUAUGGAAGAUUAAAGUUCUGCUAAGAAUCAAAAUCUUCAUGUGAUUUGUCCAAGAAGUGAUUUUAACCAAGGAUAACUUGGUAAAGCAAAGAUGGGUAGGUAGUUCACGAUGUUGCUUCUGUGACCAGAAUGAAACCAUAAAACACCUAUUUCUCGAUUGUCCUCUAGCCAAACUUCUUUAGCGCACGAUACAUAUAGCCUUUAAUGUUACUCCUCCAAUGUGA